UACGGAGGAUGCGAGCGUUAUCCGGAUUCAUUGGGUUUAAAGGGUGCGCAGGCGUGGCGUUAAGUCAGUGGUGAAAAAUACGUGCUCAACAUGUACCGUGCCAUUGAUACUGGCGCCGUAGAGUUCAAGUGGCGUGGCCGGAAUGUGUCGUGUAGCGGUGAAAUGCAUAGAUAUGACACAGAACGCCGAUCGUGAAGACAGGUCACGAACUUGCGACAGACGCUCAUGCACGAAAGCGUGGGGAUCAAAC
rnacentral:rRNA from 1 species